rnacentral:lncRNA from 1 species
UUUCUUUUUCUUUAUUUCCUUCCUUCCUUCCUUCUUUCCUUCCUUCCUUCCUUCUUUCCUUUCUUCCUUCUUUCUUUCUCUUUUUUGGGAACACCCACAGCAUACAGAAGUGCCUGGGCCAGAGGUCAAAGUGGAGCUGCAGCUGUGGUCUAUGCCACAGCUUGCGGCAACACCAGACCCUUAACCCACUGAGUGAGGCCCGGGAUAAAACCUGCAACCUCACAGAGAGAAAGUUCGGUCCUUAACCCACUGAGCCACAAUGGGAACUCCAAGGUGUAGCAUUUGGACAUCCGCAUGAGGAAAAAAAAAUCAACAUCAACUUCAGUUCCACACUGUAUACCAAAACCAACUCAAAAGGGAUCACAGACUUAAAUGUAAAACAUAAACUAUUAAACUAUUAGAAAACAAAGCUGAAAACAUGGAGAUACCUGAGCUCAGUUAUUCACAGAACACCAGGAAGUGCCUCUUACACUACAUCUUCCUCUCUGGUCUAUCCCAAAUGACUGAAAUUCCACUAUUAGACACUCAUACCUUUGGCUUAGAGGCUCAUCCACAAAAUUCCUUUGGGAGAUAAGAUAUGAGCUUUAAAUCUUGGGGUGAAUCAGAGUAUCAAGAAUUCUCCAGCUGACAGCUAAGAGGAGACUCUCAAAUGAAGGAAGAUGAAAAAAGGCACUAAGCACUUGGACAAGAGAGGAGAGUGAAAAUGAGUCAGAGGAAAAAGAUAAUGUUCUGACAAGUUCUCCCUUCUUGACAAUGCCAAGGUCAGUUCUUCCAAACUCUCUAUCUGGUUCAGCAUCAUUGGCAGUGGUGGUGGUAAAGAUGGGUUUUCACCAAACUACACCCACACAACAUGAGCAGACAUUCAUAAGAGGAAUCCACCAACUUAGAAGCAAAGAAAGGGAGAGGAUAAGAGAUGGGGGUUGUUGAGGUUCCCUCAUUAGUACAGCACAAUUCUAGCAUAAAACAAAGAAUUUAUAUUCCAAACAGGAUAACACCAUAGAAGAUGUAUUUAUUAUCUAUCUAGUAUUCUCCUUCCUGAUUUAUUAUUUCUUUACAUGAAUGUUUAAUGGAACUACUUAGGCAAAUGCCUUUGGAGGGGCUCAUUCUUGGUGAAUUCUAGUUACAGACACAGAGGGCUCCAACCUCCAAAGAAUCAAAAACCAUCAAGUGCUUUUAACUCUAAAACUUUGUAGAAAGAAAAUUUUCACCUAUGCUAGUCCAGAAGACACGGUAAAAGGCAUAGGGUCAUGUAAGUAUAUUCACCAAACCAUGCAUUUGUAUCAUAUAGUCUUGAGGCGUAAGCAAACAAAAACAACUGUUAGGAAAAAAAAACAAUUUUUGUUUUGUUUUGUGUUUUGUGUUUUUAGGGCCGCACCCACAGCAUAUGGAAGUUCCCAGGCUAGGGAUCCAAUUGGAGCUGCAACUGCCAGCCUAUACCACAGCCACAGCAAUGCCAAAUUCUUAACCCAUUGAGCGAGGCCAGGGAUUGAACCCACGUCCUCAUGGAUGCCAGCUGGGCUAACUGCUGAGCCACGAUGGGAACUCCCUUUUUUUUAAUUUUCUUUUUGCAGUUAUGAAAAAUUUAAACCCAGGAAGUGUGGUCAGUGAGAUCUAGGGCUGCCAUUGCUUGCUUUUCCCAUCCCGGUGGGAAGAAGGUUCAGAGAGAAGGCAGCAAGUCCCAGUGAUGCUCCCUGAGGGCAAGAGGAGUCACAGUCCCUUAGAGCAAGCCCUCAGCUUUAACAGGCCACUCUAAACGGCCAGAAUCACCCCCCCACACCAUCCUCUCCUGACUGAUAGGUAAACCCUCAUCUCCUGAUCAGGCUGCUCAGAGAAUGUGACCCUCAAGUUAAAAUGAGGCAGCAGAGGGAGUUCCCUGGUGCUGGGAUUGUCACUGCAGUGGCUGGGGUCACUGCUAUGGAGUGGAUUUCGAUCCCUACCCCAGGAACUUUCGCAUGCUGGGGGCUCGGCCAAAAAAAAAAAAAAAAAAAAAGGGAGUCCCCGUCGUGGCGCAGUGGUUAACGAAUCCGACUAGGAACCAUGAGGUUGCGGGUUCGGUCCCUGCCCUUGCUCAGUGGGUUAACGAUCCGGCAUUGCCCUGAGCUGUGGUGUAGGUCGCAGACGUGGCUCGGAUCCCGUGUUGCUGUGGCUCUGGUGUAGACUGGCGGCUACAGCCCCGACUCAACCCCUAGCCUGGGGACCUCCACAUGCCGUGGGAGCGGCGCAAAAAUAGCAAAAAAAAAAAAAAAAAAAAAAAACCCAAAAAAAAAUAAAUAAAUAAUAAAUAAAAGAAAUAGUCUUUAAAAAAGGGGGGGGGGGCAGCAAAGCAUGCAAACUGACCAGGAGACAGGGCCUCGAUCAAGACAGGCCACAGGCCCUCUCAGCUCUGCUAAUCUUCCUUUCCACCAGCUGGUCACAAAAACCCAUCAGAGGCUACGAAUUCUCACAACCUUAGUGUAGGUGGCAUCUCAGUCUGAAACAGUCAUUCUCUCCCUCAGGGCAGCCUUCAGAGAAAACUCACAAGCACUGACAGGCCAGCCCUCUCCAGAGCUGAGGCUGAGGCUCUGAGCCAGGCAAGCUUCUGUGAGGCCCCUAGCUGCCUUGAGGUUGUGUGUGAAGGCUCUGACAUCUAACUCCUGCUCGGCCUGCAACCCACGGAGGCCUGCUUUGCCUUGGCGGCCUCAUCUAUAAAAUGCUGGAUGCGGAUCCAUGAGUAAAUAGGCAGGCCUGGCCCUCAGUCCAGGCUGGUUAUCAGGAUUUCACUCACCAUCCAAUGCAACCUCGCCUAAAGCUGAUUUCCCAGGCAUCUCUUAGUCCCUGCCCAGGCAGCUGCAUUUUUUUUUUUUUUUUUUUGCAUUCUUUUUUUAUCUUUUUUUCUCCCCUGGGGCUGCACCCAUGGCAUAUAGAAGUUCCUGGGCUAGGGAUUGAAUCUGAGCCGCAGCUUCCACUUAUGCCACAGCUGCAGCAAUGCCGGAUCCUUAACUUGCUGCACUGGGCCAGGAAUCAAACCCACACCAUGGCAGAGACAAUGCCAAUUCUUAACCCACUGUGCCACAGUAGGAACUCCUUUUUUUUUUUUUUAAACUGCGCCUACAGCAUGUAGAAGCUCCAGGGCCAUGGAUGAAACC